rnacentral:rRNA from 1 species
AUUGAACGCUGGCGGCAUGCCUUACACAUGCAAGUCGAACGGCAGCACGGGUGCUUGCCCCUGGUGGCGAGUGGCGAACGGGUGAGUAAUACAUCGGAACAUGUCCUGUAGUGGGGGAUAGCCCGGCGAAAGCCGGAUUAAUACCGCAUACGAUCUACGGAUGAAAGCGGGGGACCUUCGGGCCUCGCGCUAUAGGGUUGGCCGAUGGCUGAUUAGCUAGUUGGUGGGGUAAAGGCCUACCAAGGCGACGAUCAGUAGCUGGUCUGAGAGGACGACCAGCCACACUGGGACUGAGACACGGCCCAGACUCCUACGGGAGGCAGCAGUGGGGAAUUUUGGACAAUGGGCGAAAGUCUGAUCCAGCAAUGCCGCGUGUGUGAAGAAGGCCUUCGGGUUGUAAAGCACUUUUGUCCGGAAAGAAAUCCUUGGCCCUAAUACGGUCGGGGGAUGACGGUACCGGAAGAAUAAGCACCGGCUAACUACGUG